rnacentral:lncRNA from 1 species
UCAUAUCUAAGAGUUCUUAGAUAGAAGUCACACGGGUAGAGAUUAGGUGAAAAAACUAUAACUUGAAGUUGUUUACUGAGAGUGUUUGAACUAAUUAUGUUUAGUGGAUUUCCUUCCUGGCUUGGUAGCCCCCUAACGUAGGUGAGUUUGCACCGAACUGGGUUAACAAUUGCUUGUGUCACUUGUUUUAUUAUUUCUUUGUCUUUUAUCUUGUUUAUAUUUUAGUUGUUG